CUCCCGCACCCGGUACGUUCCAGCCAGCAGGACUCUGCUCCUACCUGAAGGCAGCACAUGACCUCCAGCCUUCCGCCUGGCACCCUCUCCUCUCACAUCCUUCAUCAGUGUCUUUGCUGGACUUCGGAUUCAUCUCUGAGGCUCCUCUGGAAUGGUCGUGCCCUGGGAGAUGUUCCAUAGCCCUCCGCUCCCCGCAUGCUGCACUUCCCGACCGGGUGGGAUCACAUGCUGUGUCGAGUUCCUUUGUGACCGAAGACGGUCCAUGAGAAUAGCACCUAGCCUUCUUACCGACCAGGAAUGCUUACGAGAACGUUCACCUCUCUUGGCAAACACGGCGAUACCACACGACUGUUAUUUUCACCUUCACUUCUUCAUGUGACAAAGAGAUGGUCAAGAGAGGUUUUCGGGCCCAGUGGAGGAGACCCAAAGGUGGACGGCCAGGAGUGAAACUGAAGCCAGGUCAGCUGACCCCAUGUAGCCAACGGCCCACAUGCUGUCGGCGCCCCCCAGACCCAGUCUGCUCCCUUCUGUGUGUGCCUCUGGCUACAACACUCACCGUGAGAGAACACGCAGCAUGCGCUCUGCACAGCCUCACUCCCACGUGCGCCGGCACAUGCCCGCUGCCUGCCCAGGUCACCGAGGAGUCCCUGUGAAGUGUGAUAACAGCUGUGAGGCUCCUGCCUGUUCCCAACCGCAGUUUCUAGCACCCUCUUCAGAGAGAGUUGGACGCAGAGUGCACGUAGCCCGAGAAAACGGAAGCUCACUUCCCGGUGGAUACUGGGCUCAUUAGAAACACCGCGUCAUCACACAAUCAGCAUUUUACUAAAAAAGUAAU